UGGGGAAUUUUGGACAAUGGGGGAAACCCUGAUCCAGCCAUGCCGCGUGAGUGAAGAAGGCCUUCGGGUUGUAAAGCUCUUUCAGCCGGAACGAAACGGUCACGGUUAAUACCUGUGACUACUGACGGUACCGGAAGAAGAAGCACCGGCUAACUACGUGCCAGCAGCCGCGGUAAUACGUAGGGUGCAAGCGUUAAUCGGAAUUACUGGGCGUAAAGCGUGCGCAGGCGGUUUUGUAAGUCAGAUGUGAAAUCCCCGGGCUUAACCUGGGAACUGCGUUUGAAACUACAAGGCUAGAGUGUGGCAGAGGGGGGUGGAAUUCCACGUGUAGCAGUGAAAUGCGUAGAGAUGUGGAGGAACACCGAUGGCGAAGGCAGCCCCCUGGGUUAACACUGACGCUCAGGCACGAAAGCGUGGGGAGCAAACAGG
rnacentral:rRNA from 1 species